UACGUAGGGGGCGAGCGUUGUCCGGAUUUAUUGGGCGUAAAGAGCUCGUAGGCGGCUUAGCAAGUCGGGUGUGAAAACUCCAGGCUCAACCUGGAGACGCCACUCGAGACUGCUAUGGCUAGAGUCCGGUAGGGGACCACGGAAUUCCUGGUGUAGCGGUGAAAUGCGCAGAUAUCAGGAGGAACACCGGUGGCGAAGGCGGUGGUCUGGGCCGGCACUGACGCUGAGGAGCGAAAGCAUGGGGAGCAAACAGG
rnacentral:rRNA from 1 species